rnacentral:rRNA from 1 species
CAGCCGCCGCGGUAAUACGAAGGGUGCAAGCGUUAAUCGGAAUUACUGGGCGUAAAGCGUGCGUAGGUGGUGGUUUAAGUCCGUUGUGAAAGCCCUGGGCUCAACCUGGGAAUUGCAGUGGAUACUGGAUCACUAGAGUGUGGUAGAGGAUAGUGGAAUUUCCGGUGUAGCAGUGAAAUGCGUAGAGAUCGGGAGGAACAUCAGUGGCGAAGGCGGCCAUCUGGGACAACACUGACGCUGAGGCACGAAAGCGUGGGGAGCAAACAGGAUUAGAGACCCCCGUAGUCCCUGUCUCUUAUAA